rfam:Gossypium hirsutum cultivar TM-1 chromosome 4, whole genome shotgun sequence
AUUUCAUAAUGAAGGUACUUCUAUAAUAAUUCUUUGUUCCUUUCCCAUGCCUCAUACAAGGACUCGUCAUCCAUUUGUUGGAAAGCGAUGACCUCAUUCUUGAACUU